rnacentral:rRNA from 1 species
GACGAACGCUGGCGGCGUGCUUAACACAUGCAAGUCGAACGGAAAGGCCUCUUUCGGGGGGUACUCGAGUGGCGAACGGGUGAGUAACACGUGAGUAACCUGCCCUUGACUUUGGGAUAACUUCAGGAAACUGGGGCUAAUACCGGAUAGGAGCUCCUGCUGCAUGGUGGGGGUUGGAAAGUUUCGGCGGUUGGGGAUGGACUCGCGGCUUAUCAGCUUGUUGGUGGGGUAGUGGCUUACCAAGGCUUUGACGGGUAGCCGGCCUGAGAGGGUGACCGGCCAUAUGGGGACGGAGAAACGGCCCAGCCCCCGAGGGGGGGAGGAAGGGGGGAAUAUGGCACAAGGGGUGGAGGCCGUGUGCAGCAACGCCUGGGGGGGGAGGACGGCCUUGGGGUUGAAAACCGUUUUCGCCCAGGACGAAGCUUUGUGUGAGGGUGGUGGAUAAAGAAGCCCCGGCUAAUUACGUC